GACAGAGGGUGCAAACGUUGUUCGGAAUUACUGGGCGUAAAGGGUGCGUAGGCGGCGCGGUAAGUCGAGUGUGAAAUUUCGAGGCUUAACUUCGAAACUGCAUUCGAUACUGCCGUGCUUGAGGACUGGAGAGGAGACUGGAAUUUACGGUGUAGCGGUGAAAUGCGUAGAUAUCGUAAGGAAGACCAGUGGCGAAGGCGGGUCUCUGGACAGUUCCUGACGCUGAGGCACGAAGGCCAGGGGAGCAAACGGG
rnacentral:rRNA from 1 species